GAUGAAGAACGCAGCGAAAUGCGAUACUUGGUGUGAAUUGCAGAAUCCCGUGAACCAUCGAGUCUUUGAACGCAAGUUGCGCCCGAAGCCAUUAGGCCGAGGGCACGCCUGCCUGGGCGUCACACGUCGUUGCCCCCCCCAUCUACUCCUUCGGGAUUGCGGGGGGCGGAUGAUGGCCUCCCGUGCGCCUCGCCGCGCGGUUGGCAUAAAUGCCAAGUCCUCGGCGAUGCACGCCACGACAAUCGGUGGUUGCGAAACCUCGGUUGCCCGUCGUGUGCGGUCGUCGCGCAUCGAGGGCUCGAAAAAAUUGCCGGGCUCCGGCUCGGCUUUCAACGCAACCCCAGGUCAGGCGGGGUUACCCGCUGAAUUUAAGCAUAUCAAUAAGCGGAGGA
rnacentral:misc_RNA from 1 species